CCUACGGGGGGCUGCAGUGGGGAAUAUCGCACAAUGGGGGAAACCCUGAUGCAGCAACGCCGCGUGAGCGAUGAAGGCCUUCGGGUCGUAAAGCUCUGUCCUAAGGGAUGAAUACUGACGCUAACUUAGGAGGAAGCUGCGGCUAACUACGUGCCAGCAGCCGCGGUAAUACGUAGGGGGCUAGCGUUAUCCGGAAUUACUGGGCGUAAAGGGUGCGUAGGAGGCCCUUAAAGUCAGAGGUGAAAGGCUACGGCUCAACCGUAGUACGCCUUUGAAACUGUAGGGCUUGAGUGCAGGAGAGGAGAGUGGAAUUCCCAGUGUAGUGGUGAAAAGCGUAGAUAUUGGGAGGAACACCAGUUGCGAAGGCGGCUCUCUGGAGUGUAACUGACGCAGAGGCACGAAAGAGUGGGGGGCGAACAGGAUUAUAUACCCGAGUAGUC
rnacentral:rRNA from 1 species